GUACUGGAAGCGUUAUUUCUAAAAACUAUCUUCCUUUCAAUACCGUCCUGUCACAAUUUCUAUACAUUUUCAGGUUUUUUUAAGUUCUUUAGUAAUUUGCACUUAAAAUCUGCACGUUAAAUCUUAAA